rnacentral:lncRNA from 1 species
AUCCACAGAGAGAGAAAACAACUUGGAAAUAUCCAGAAUAGAUAAAUCCACAGUGAGAGAAAACAGUCCCAGUAGUUAUCAGGGACUGGAGAGAGGGAAGAAUGAGAAGUGACUACUUCAUGGAUACAAGGUUUUCUCUGGGGGUGAUGAAAAUAUUUUGACAUCUGAUAAAGGUGGUGGUAGUACAGCACUGUGAAUGUACCAAUUGCCACUGAAUUGUGCAUUUUAAAGUGAUUGAUUUUAUGUGGAACAAAUUUCACUUUAAUUAUAAAAAGUGAAUAAACUUUUAGAAGCUAACCUUGGAAGAAGGUAGAGACUGGAAGGGAUCACAAGAAAGGCUUCUGGGAUGUUGGUUGAUUUCUCUAAGAAGUACAUGCUGAAAUGAAGAUAAGAGUACAAAAUAUUUAUCGGAGAGUAGUAACACAGAGGAGACACAGGAUUUGGCAGAAACACUAAACCAUGGUGAAGACCGGCUAAAGUCUCUUUGUCCAAAGGGGAGCUCUAAAGUAAAUAUGAGCCAUUAAGGGAGCCCCACACUGGAUGGAAAUGGCCAAGCCUUUUUACAACCACCUUCUCCUUGAGACACUGCCUGCAAUUCACCCUGGGAAAGCAAAACCUCAACUGUUUCUGCCUCAUUCAUUCUUUGUCAGUGCCGUAAGAAGAUUGAGAUUUCAGCUUGUAACUGUUGAAGCAAAACCUAAAGUGGUUAAUAAUGGGAGUUUGUCACAACUAUCUUAACACAAAUAUAAAAUAUUUGCAUGAACUGUAAUAACCUUUUAUUUAUAAAUUAAAAACUUAUUGAUAAA